rnacentral:rRNA from 1 species
GACGAACGCUGGCGGCGUGCUUAACACAUGCAAGUCGAACGGAGAUUCAGCAAUGGAUCUUAGUGGCGAACGGGUGAGUAACGCGUAGGCAAUCUGCCUUCUAGAUGGGGACAACAUCCCGAAAGGGGUGCUAAUAUCGAAUGUUGUACCGUUUCCGCAUGGAGAUGAUACUAAAGGUGGCCUCUGAAUAUGCUACCGCUAGAAGAUGAGCCUGCGUCUGAUUAGCUAGUUGGAGGGGUAACGGCCCACCAAGGCAACGAUCAGUAGCCGGUCUGAGAGGAUGAACGGCCACACUGGGACUGAGACACGGCCCAGACUCCUACGGGAGGCAGCAGUGGGGAAUCUUCCGCAAUGGACGAAAGUCUGACGGAGCAACGCCGCGUGAGUGAAGAAGGUUUUCGGAUCGUAAAGCUCUUUCGUUAGGGACGAACGUGCCCUUUGUGAAUAAUGAGGAGUAAUGACGGUACCUGAAUAAGAAGCCACGGCUAACUACGUGCCAGCCGCCGCCGUAA